CCUACGGGGGGCUGCAGUAGGGAAUAUUGCUCAAUGGGGGAAACCCUGAAGCAGCAACGCCGCGUGGAGGAUGAAGGUUUUCGGAUUGUAAACUCCUUUUGUUAGAGAAGAUAAUGACGGUAUCUAACGAAUAAGCACUGGCUAACUCCGGGCCAGCAGCCGCGGUAAUACGGAGGGUGCAAGCGUUACUCGGAAUCACUGGGCGUAAAGAGCGCGGAGGUGGGAUGGCAAGUCAGAUGUGAAAUCCUAUGGCUUAACCAUAGAACUGCAUUUGAAACUGUUAUUCUAGAGUAUGGGAGAGGUAGGUAGAAUUCUUGGUGUAGGGGUGAAAUGCGUAGAGAUCAAGAGGAAUACUCAUUGCGAAGGCGACCUGCUAGAACAUAACUGACGCUGAUGUGCGAAAGCGUGGGGAGCAAACAGGAUUAGAUACCCGUGUAGUC
rnacentral:rRNA from 1 species